ensembl:misc_RNA Metazoa_SRP Metazoan signal recognition particle RNA
GCCAGGCGAGGUGGCAUCUGCCUGUAGUCCCAGCUACUUGGGAGACAGAGGUAGGAGGAUUGCUUGAGUCCAGGAGUUCUGGACUGUAGUUUGCUAUGCCCAUUGGGUGUCCGUACUAAGUUCGGCAUCAAUAUGGUGACCUCCCAGGAGCGCGGGACCACCAGGUUGCCUAAGGAUGGGUGAACCGGCCCAGGCUGGAAAUGGAGCAGCUCAAAACUCCCGUGCCGAUCAGUAGUGGGAUGGCGCCUGUGAAUAGCCACUGCACUCCAGCCUGGGCAACACAGUGAGACCCCAUCUCA